rnacentral:rRNA from 1 species
GUCCACAGCCACACCACCCUGAACGCGCCCAAUCUCAUCUGAUCUCAGAAGCUAAGCAGGGUCGGGCGGGGUUAGUACUUGGAUGGGAUGUUUUCAAUGUACUUUAACUAGGGCA